GAUGAAGAACGCAGCGAAAUGCGAUACGUAAUGUGAAUUGCAGAAUUCAGUGAAUCAUCGAGUCUUUGAACGCACAUUGCGCCCCCUGGUAUUCCGGGGGGCAUGCCUGUCCGAGCGUCAUUUCACCACUCAAGCCUGGCUUGGUGUUGGGCGACGUCCCCUUUAGGGACGCGCCUCGAAACGCUCGGCGGCGCGGCACCGGCUUUAAGCGUAGCAGAAUCUUUCGCUUUGGAAGUCGGGGCCCCGCCUGCCGGAAUACCUACUUGUAAGGUUGACCUCGGAUCAGGCAGGGAUACCCGCUGAACUUAAGCAUAUCAAUAAGCGGAGGA
rnacentral:misc_RNA from 1 species